GUGGGGAAUAUUGGACAAUGGGCGCAAGCCUGAUCCAGCCAUGCCGCGUGAGUGAUGAAGGCCUUAGGGUUGUAAAGCUCUUUCAGUGGGGACGAUAAUUACGGUACCCACAGAAGAAGCCCCGGCUAACUUCGUGCCAGCAGCCGCGGUAAUACGAAGGGGGCUAGCGUUGUUCGGAUUUACUGGGCGUAAAGCGCACGUAGGCGGAUCGUUAAGUCGGGGGUGAAAUACUGGAGCUCAACUCCAGAACUGCAUUCGAUACUGGCGAUCUUGAGUCCGGAAGAGGUGAGUGGAACUCCUAGUGUAGAGGUGGAAUUCGUAGAUAUUAGGAAGAACACCAGUGGCGAAGGCGGCUCACUGGUCCGGUACUGACGCUGAGGUGCGAAAGCGUGGGGAGCAAACAGGAUUAGAUACCAUUGUAGUCC
rnacentral:rRNA from 1 species